GCAUAAGCCCUUAGCACUGCAUGGUGCAUAGGGAAAAGGAGCAAUCCGGUACAGGAUGGACCCGCGUCUGAUUAGCCAGUUGGCAGGGUAACGGCCUACCAAAGCGACGAUCAGUAGCCGAUCUGAGAGGAUGUACGGCCACAUUGGGACUGAGACACGGCCCAGACUCCUACGGGAGGCAGCAGUGGGGAAUAUUGCACAAUGGAGGAAACUCUGAUGCAGCGACGCCGCGUGAGUGAAGAAGUAUUUCGGUAUGUAAAGCUCUAUCAGCAGGGAAGAAAAUGACGGUACCUGACUAAGAAGCACCGGCUAAAUACGUGCCAGCAGCCGCGGUAAUACGUAUGGUGCAAGCGUUAUCCGGAUUUACUGGGUGUAAAGGGAGCGUAGGUGGCAAGGCAAGCCAGAAGUGAAAACCCGGGGCUCAACCGCGGGAUUGCUUUUGGAACUGUCAUGCUAGAGUGCAGGAGGGGUGAGCGGAAUUCCUAGUGUAGCGGUGAAAUGCGUA
rnacentral:rRNA from 1 species